AUUGCUCAAGCGGCCGAAGGCGCGUUUGUUCGGUACACGCGAGAGCGUCCCCCAAGAGCAAGUCUGUCGUCGCAUCAUUUUGUCGCGCCUACGCUGGCAAUUGUUUCGGCCGCCAUUCCACCAGUUCGUCUGCCAUGGAUCGCGGGUUUAGCCUCCAGCAGCAGCCGCUGCAACACGGAUAUGACGAACAGACUGUAGAAAGCUGGUUCUGAUGGUCCUCCAGUGUAUACAACAAACGAAAAGGCCAGGAGCAGCUGCGUUAGGUUACGCUUCUCAGCGGAUGAGAUGGCGCCGGCGCAUGCAUCGUCGGUGAGUGAAACGCCUGUCACAUUUGUCCAGAGGACCUAAAGCCAAUCACGGUGCAUUUCAAGUACGGACAUCCACGCCCUCCUUUGAAUGACAAACAGAAGCCGGACGCUUUUGUGGGGGAAAAUGCACGCAACUAACCUGAACGAGCUGGAAGAACUGGGACGCCUUGGCGAUGGGGUCGGUGACGGCGUUGCAUGCUGCGCCGAACAGCACCAGUUUCUUUGGCCGCUU